rnacentral:rRNA from 1 species
UUUGACUACCAAUAAAAGGUCCAGCCUGCCCAGUGACUUUGUUCAACGGCCGCGGUAUCCUAACCGUGCGAAGGUAGCGUAAUCACUUGUUCUUUAAAUGAGGACUAGUAUGAACGGCAUCACGAGGGUUAUACUGUCUCCUCCCUUUAAUCAGUGAAACUGAUCUUCCCGUGAAGAAGCGGGAAUAAAUCUAUAAGACGAGAAGACCCUAUGGAGCUUUAAACACACUACAAUUGCCUCACUCUAUGUCAAUCUCUGGAAAACCGCUUAUCCGGGCACUUUGAUAGCAAGUUUUAGGUUGGGGUGACCGCGGAGCAAAAAACAACCUCCACAGCGAACAGGGCUUCCCCUUAAACUCAGGAUUACGACCCUAAGAAUCAAUAAAUUGACACCCAUUGACCCAAUUUUUUUGACCAACGAAC